CAGCCGCCACGGUAAUACAGAGGGUGCAAGCGUUAAUCGGAAUUACUGGGCGUAAAGCGCGCGUAGGUGGUUUGUUAAGUUGGAUGUGAAAUCCCCGGGCUCAACCUGGGAACUGCAUCCAAAACUGGCAAGCUAGAGUAUGGUAGAGGGUGGUGGAAUUUCCUGUGUAGCGGUGAAAUGCGUAGAUAUAGGAAGGAACACCAGUGGCGAAGGCGACCACCUGGACUGAUACUGACACUGAGGUGCGAAAGCGUGGGGAGCAAACAGGAUUAGAGACCCGCGUAGUCCCUGUCUCUUAUAC
rnacentral:rRNA from 1 species